AUGAGUGUUUUCAAACUCCCGGCAUCGGUCUGUGAUGAUCUAACAAGGAUGAUUCGUCAGUACUGGUGGGGGGUGGAGAACGGAAAGAAGAAGUUGGCCUGGAUGGGCUGGGAUAAAUUGCGUCUUCCUAAGUCCAUGGGGGGCAUGGGUUUUAGGGACAUGAGGGCGUUUAACCAGGCGCUUCUAGCUAAGCAGGCCUGGAGGCUAUUGGACCGGUCGGAUAGUCUUUGUGCGCGUCUGCUGAAGGCGAGAUACUACCCUUCCGGUCAGCUGCUGGAUACGGUGUUCCCGGGCUCCGGAUCCGAGGUGUGG
rnacentral:rRNA from 1 species